ACUAUAACGUUACGGAUAAUUAUUUGAGAUGUUUAAAACAAUAGGAAAACUAUGAAAUCGGCCGAAUAACAGUGCAACGGGCUCCGCAGUACGAAUCCCCGUGACAAUCUCGUAAAUUGUACUUAACGUUUACACAAUAAAAAAAAGAUACUAUUGUCUCUCUUGAAAAUAUUUAUCGUUGCAUCCCGAUAGUUGAAUACCGUAUACAGGGUAUUCCACGGAGAUUUGACAGGUAAAAUUAUUUUUA